UUGACAGCCCUGGAGACAGAAGUCCUGUAUUUAUCUACAGACAAUUAACAGAAUGGGUGAUAACAGUAAAAUUUCCCCAAAGUAUCAAAUCAUGAUAUGGAUAGCAGGACCGCCUCCUGAGGCAGGAGUAUAGGUUAGCCUCCAGGCCCAAUCAAUGCCUGGCCAUU
rnacentral:sRNA from 1 species